UUACACAAAUAUGAAGGCGGGCUGGAACCUCUCGGGGUUACAGCCUUGCUGAAUUAUUCACCCUUGUCUUUUGCGUACUUCUUGUUUCCUUGGUGGGUUCGCCCACCACUAGGACAAACAUAAACCUUUUGUAAUUGCAAUCAGCGUCAGUAACAAAUUAAUAAUUACAACUUUCAACAACGGAUCUCUUGGUUCUGGCAUCGAUGAAGAACGCAGCGAAAUGCGAUAAGUAGUGUGAAUUGCAGAAUUCAGUGAAUCAUCGAAUCUUUGAACGCACAUUGCGCCCUUUGGUAUUCCAAAGGGCAUGCCUGUUCGAGCGUCAUUUGUACCCUCAAGCUUUGCUUGGUGUUGGGCGUCUUGUCUCUAGCUUUGCUGGAGACUCGCCUUAAAGUAAUUGGCAGCCGGCCUACUGGUUUCGGAGCGCAGCACAAGUCGCACUCUCUAUCAGCAAAGGUCUAGCAUCCAUUAAGCCUUUUUUUCAACUUUUGACCUCGGAUCAGGUAGGGAUACCCGCUGAACUUAAGCAUAUCAAUAAGCGGAGGAAAAGAAACCAACAGGGAUUGCCCUAGUAACGGCGAGUGAAGCGGCAACAGCUCAAAUUUGAAAUCUGGCUCUUUUAGAGUCCGAGUUGUAAUUUGCAGAGGGCGCUUUGGCUUUGGCAGCGGUCCAAGUUCCUUGGAACAGGACGUCACAGAGGGUGAGAAUCCCGUACGUGGUCGCUGGCUAUUG
rnacentral:rRNA from 1 species